UAAAAUUUUCAGUAACAGAUGCAAGUUUUUCAGCAAGGUCUCCACCAAUGUCUCUUAAUUUAACAAAGAAUCUGUUAACAGAAUACAUCCGAUUAAGAUCUUCAAAAGCAAUGUCGGUGCUCGGUUCUUUGCCAUUAACAAUAUUAGAAAAAAGGACAAGAAAGGGAGUAAAUGGACAGUACAAGAAUACCCAUAAAUAGCAAACAUUCUUCGCAAUAGG